rnacentral:misc_RNA from 1 species
AAGUCGUAACAAGGUUUCCGUAGGGUAAGUUAAUUAUCAAAUCUUCGAUUUUACAAGAAAUACUAACGUGUUACAGUGAACCUGCGGAAGGAUCAUUACCGAGUAAUUGGUCGUUAUUUAUAGCACCAAACUCCCACCCUUAUGUUUACUACAAUUUGUUAUCUUUGGCAAAGCGUUUUUCUAAGAACCACCGAUAGUGAAAACUAUGAGUGAGACUUUGCCAAAGUUUUCAACUCUUGAACUUUUUAUGGUUGUCUGAGUUUAACAAAGAAAUAAUUAAAA